GUGAUGUUCUGUCAGAGGGCAGAGAGGAGACUGAUGACUCCGCCUUCGACAUAGUGUCCCCUCUACCUCCAGAGGAAGUUGAGGUUGAACAGCCACCAGUUCAGAAGGCCGCAUCACCCAAACUGGAGCAGAGGCUUUCGUCUUGGUCUCGUAGAAGCAUGCCUUCCCCAG